AACGUGCGGACUGCGAUUACGGGCUUCUUUCUUUCUUCUUCGUUUUGCGCUCUCCGAUUGGUUAGAGUGUGGACAUUACAACAUGGCCUCUAAUUUAUUGUUUUUCUCGAGUGUUACCGGUGAUUAGAUUUAGUAUGUGUUGGGUGUGCGGACGGAUCAGUUUGGCAGUUUAGGCGCUGUGGAUGUUAUCUUGCUUAAACCCUUGCCAGAGUUUGUUUUCUUUCUUGUUUGAUGGAUCAUUUUACUUCAUCUCCCUUUUUCCUCCUAGCUGGAAUUCUUUUUAGGGUUUCUCUCAAUUUCUGAGAAAUUUUUCGCCUAUUCAGUUGAAUGCGGGCUGUGAUUACGGGCUUCUUUCUUUCGUCUUCAUUUCGUGCUUUCUGAUCAGUUAGAGCGUUGGACAUUGCAAGUUGAUUUUCCUUUGAUUUAUUGUUUCUCUUCUCGAACGUUAUCGGUGAUUAGAUUUAGUACAUGUUUGGCGUGCAGAUGGAUUAGUUUGGUGGUUCAGGCGCUGUGGAUGUUCUCUUGCUUAAACCCUUGCCAGAGUUUGUUUCCUUUCUUGUUUGAUGCACCGGGAGAGUUUGAAGAGUUUUUGGGUGGUCCCUUGUGGGUUUUACGAUUGCAGACUUGUAGAACAGAAUGGGCGAUCUGGGCAUUGAGGCGCGGAAGCCACUCCUAGGUUUGUCUACGUCGCUUGAGGGCAAAAGGAGGAGCAAGAAGAAAGUGCUCGAGAAUGAAGGUGAAAUACAAAGGAGUGAAUGCCUCAGAUCUCUGAGGGAUAUUUCCCUUGCACUUGCUGAGAUGCCUGCACGUGGUGAUCUAACAGGAAGUAGGAGAUUCGUGAACUCUUGAAAUCAAUCUGGCAAAUUCUAGGAAUCACAAGGACUAUCCAUGGUAUAUGCUAUGCUUGGGUCUUAUUUCAGCAGUUUAUCAUAACUGGUGAACAACGGCUUCUACAACAUGCCACUGAAAUGCUAAGAAAGAUUCCACUAAAAUAACAGCGAAGUAUGCAGGAAAAGUUAUAUUUGAAAGGCCUCUGUUUUCCAAUCGAAGGAGAAAUAGGGAAUCAAGAAUUAACAUUUAUGCAUUCUGUCUUGUCACCUAUAAAGCAGUGAGCUGAUAAGCGUUUGGAGGAUUAUCAUUGCCAUUUUUUUGAGGUAAUCACAGUUGGAGCUGAUCCAGCGUUCGAAUGGUUGUGAAUUUUAUCUUAUUUGGGAACUUGAUUAAGAGAGUUGUGAUGUCCACUGGUGCUGUUUCUUUGGAUGAUGUUGGACUGGAUCAAGUCAGCAUUGAUUAUGUUCUCAACUAUGCCAAGAAAGGUUAGGUGACAAAGGAUUUAUACCGAUUCAACUUCUGCAGCCAUAAGAGAAAGAAAAAACUUCUUGAAGGGUGUUUGUUCCUUUUUUUUUUGGAGCUUUUAGGAACUUGCUCUUGUUACAGGGGAUGUGCUGCAAUUAUCAAAAGUAAUCAGAGACCAUUAUGAAAAAGUCAUCCUUCCAGCGACUUGUACACUAAUUAGACCAUAUUCUAAUUAAUUGACUUGUAGUCUUUUGUAGCUUCUCAAUCUGUUUGAAGCAUUUAAAUGAAGUAUUUUGAUGGAUAAAUGUACUAACAAGUGCCUAUAAGUAGAUAAGUAGACAAACAUAUCUCUGAACAAACAAGCAAACAAAUAAGUAAUGUUUGUGUUUGUGUUUAUGUGUGCAUGCAUGUGUGUGUAUAUGUCUACUUCAUUUUCCAAUAAGCUGACAAAGCAAUUUAGACAGGCUUAAGCGCUGACUGUGUUACAUUGGUCUUGAAGUGAUCCUGUCAAUAAACAUAUCUAGUUCUGCGACCGUCUUUAUUUUCUUUUCUUCUACAAUAUUUUUUUCAAAUCAAACCUUUUUUUGUGGCGUUUAUUACAUUUUGAUGGAUAUGAAACUUCCUUCCAGGGUAAGAAGCUUCUUCUCUCACAGUCUGUCAAUAACUGAAAUUUGCAUAGUUUUUUACGUAUUUUCUUGUUCUUUUUGUUUUCUAUAGUUUGGGAAAUGCUUUUUAUUCAUUUUUCAAUCUGGAAGCUUUUGGUUUGAUUUGUGUGUUCUUUUGCA